rnacentral:rRNA from 1 species
UACGUAGGGCGCAAGCGUUGUCCGGAAUUAUUGGGCGUAAAGAGCUCGUAGGCGGCUUGUCACGUCGGAUGUGAAAGCCCGGGGCUUAACCCCGGGUCUGCAUUCGAUACGGGCAGGCUAGAGUUCGGUAGGGGAGACUGGAAUUCCUGGUGUAGCGGUGAAAUGCGCAGAUAUCAGGAGGAACACCGGUGGCGAAGGCGGGUCUCUGGGCCGAUACUGACGCUGAGGAGCGAAAGCGUGGGUAGCAAACAGG